UUUACAAAAAUUAGACAGAUAUUCAAAUAUGCAACAACAAUUUAUUAGAUCUGAUCCCCAAUGUGUUAGGGCCUGGUCAUAGUGCAUCUGCCCACAUCCUUCAGGACCAGCAAAAAAAGAAAAAACUUGUAUCGAAUAUGUGUUUUUCAACAUUUUUCAUAUGCAUUUAUUUAGAAAAUGUUCUAACGGUUCUACCUGCUUGUGCAGCUGUCAUGAGAGCUGUGUUGCCCUCGCUGUCUUGCCAGUUCACAUCCACAUAUGGACACUGUGAGAGGGCAAUGACGAUGUCCACAUAGCCCUGAUAACACGCCACAAUCAGACCAGUCUGGGAAUCACAAACACAACACUGUGAAGGCUGCAAGAGAAGGGUUGCAAACCCAAACCCUGACCUUAGAACUCAGCCUACAGGGUUUUUAAGGACGAGGAUUGUGCAAGAUAGAAAGGAAUGCUUCAUGAUCGGCGCUUCUUCACGAUCUUCUGAUCUUAGUCAUGUUAUUUACCUAAUUUACUCAGGCUCUCCUGCUUCUGAGGACAUGAAUGAAAGUCCAUCAGGAAUGCAGACAGCUGCUGAUGUGAAGCCUAGCAGGAAGAAAAAAGCUGCAGGAAGAGAAAGGAAGAGAAACACUGCUCAACUGAUGAACCACUCUGCAACGUGUUAAGUUUCACCAUCUUUAACCCCUGUGAGAUGACACCAACAUUUUCCUGACUCUUCUAACAUUCACAUUAAAGGAGGAUAUGGAAGAAUACAAAUAAAGCUGAGUUCUCAUAUCUUCUGGAAAUUUCUCUGAUUUGUUCCUACACUAAAAUGCCAUCUCACAUUGGGAGGAAACCUGUCUUGAUAAAGGCUGAGGUGUGUGACAGUUCACAGAAAGUUCUGGUCUGAAUUACACAAAGAACUUCAUGUGUGUGGUUUUAUUAUUUAGAAUAGAUUUUAUUAUUUUAGAAAAAAAGAAGAUAUAUAGAAUUGUCUCAAAGCACUUUCACAGCAUCAACCCUCAGUGAGUCAUCAAACAAACUAAAUGGCUAUGUGAUGAUGCCUUCACACCAUGACUGUGGUUUGUGGGAUUUUUUUUCAUGCACUGAUGAUGGUCUAACCAAAAAAUUUAUUUGCAACAAACAUUUUUUGUCACUCAAUAUCACAAUGCUGUGUUUGUAUAUUUUGGAUUUUAUUCAAGGUGACUCAGAAGCAGAGUUAGAAUCCGUGUACAAGAAAAAAUGAAAUCAUAAUCCCAAUCCAAAAAUGUUAAGGCAAGCAAAAGGUCGAAUCACAACCAGGAAUAGCAAACAUGACCAGAGGAUAAUCCAGAAAAUAAACCAAUAUAAACACAGCAAGGCAGUCAGAUACAGUGCAUAUAAAAAGUCUACACACCCCUGUUAAAAUUGCAGGUUUUCGUGAUGUAAAAAAUGAAACCAAGAUAAAUCGUGUCAGGUCUUUUUUCCUCCUUUAAUGUGAAAAACAAAUAGAAAUAUUUUAGGGAAAAAAGAAACAGAAAAAACUUACAGUAACCUGGUUGCAUAAGUGUGCACACCCCUUAACUAAUACUUGGUUAAAGCAUGUUUUGUUUGUAAUACAACACUCGCUCACUUUUAUUCCACUCUUCCUUGCAAAAAUGCUCCAGAUCUAUCAAAUUCUGAGGGGUUCUCCUAUACACAGCCUUCUUCGAGUUAUUUCACAGGUCUUCAGUAGGAUUUAGAUCUGGGCUCUGACUGGGCCAUUUCCAGAAUGUUGAUCAUCUUCUUCUGAAGCCAUUCCUUUGCUGACUUGGAUUUGUGCUUUGGGUUAUUAUCGUGCUGAAAGGUGUAAAUUUUCUUUAUUGAUAGAUUUAUUUUAGAAUUUAUAAAUAUAAUAGCUUACAAAAGUCUAAAUAAAUAACCCUAUCAGUCUAUCCAAUAUUAUAAUUAAUGAUAUAUAUAUUUUUUAUUUUGCAGGGUCAGGGUCAGCCUAUCCUUUUUUUAUUCAUUAACCCAUAUAACGGUCAAAUGGUCAUUCUUGUAUUAUUCUGUUAUUAUAAAUGUUGAAAUAAUGCAAUUGUAAAUGCACCAUUUUUUAAAGUUCUGGUGGUGUCCUUUAUUAUUCCACAUUGAACAUGGCAACCCUACCUAUUAGAUAUUUUGACUACUAGGUAAGGUUUAAUAUUUCCACAUAAAUCUUCCUACAUCCUGAAUUUGAGGGCACGAUUUAAAGGUCAUUGCGUUGGAGUGAGUAAAGGUGUACAAAGUUCAGGUGUUGUCAUGAAGAAAAUGAUUAUAAUUUUAUCUUUACAGAAAUGUGAAAAAGUGUUAUGUCAGCAAGCCGUAAAUGCUCCAUCAGACAUCAUGACAUAAGCUGAAUCCCAAAUGCCUCUUUAUUCUCUAUUAUAGUGCACUACACUGGACAGCAAACAAUGCCCUGUACACCACAGGUAGUGUGCUACAUAUACAGAACAGAGACGUUUGGGAUCCAGCCAUUCACAUGACUUUGUGCAGUGCCAUCUGCUGUUCUGACAGAGUCUGACUCAGCACAGUGACAAGGAUCAGAAGUGUAUGUGACGCCAUCUGGGACUGGCUUGUUCAAGACUUCAUGACACAGCCGAGUGGAGGAACAAUAGCCUCCAAAUUCCACACUCUCUGGGCCUUCUCCAAUUGCCCGAGAGCCUUGGAUGGCAGACGUCAUCAUUGAGACUUCUUCCUCCAGUGGCUCCUUGCAUCACA